AUGCUUGCCUCUCUCACCAUCACCAUACUAAUUAUGAUCAUGGCCACCUCCGUCGCACUUGCGUCGUCGGAUGCAGCGGUGCUCGAAGGACAAGCAAGAGCACUCCUCGUCUGGAAAGAUAGCAUCGACAACCAAAGCCAGCAGGCCCUGCGCUCCUGGGGAAACACGCCAGCGCCCUGCAAUUGGCGUGGCAUCACCUGUGGUACCGGUGUGCACCGGCACCGGCCAGUGAUCAACGACAUCUCUCUGCGGGGGAUGCGGCUAAGAGGGGCUCUGGAGUCCCUCAACUUCUCGGCCUUGAGGAACUUGACACGCCUCGACCUCUCACACAACCUCCUUGCUGGGAGCAUUCCUCCUAGUAUCGAGGUCCUUGGCGAGCUCCAUGCUCUCCUUCUGCAAGGCAACCAGAUAAGAGGCUCAAUCCCACUAGGUCUAGGAAAUCUCACAAAAUUGCAUUCCUUAAUGCUUCACGAAAAUGAUCUUUCCGGUGAAAUACCAAGCCAAAUAGGCAACAUGAGUAGAAAUUUGACCAAACUCACAACCUUGUCCCUUCGCAACAACCAACUUUCUGGGUUAAUUCCAAAAAAGUUAGAUUGCCUUUCAAACUUACAGUACCUGAGUCUUAGUGAAAAUAUACUCUCGGGUUCCAUCCCAAAUAGUAUAAGAAAUUUGACCAAACUUACAACCUUGUCCCUUCACAACAACCAACUUUCUGGGUUAAUUCCACAAGAAUUAGAUUUCCUUACGAACUUAGAGUACCUGGAUCUUAGUGAAAACAUAUUCUCGGGUUCCAUCCCGAAUUGCAUAGGAAAUUUGACCAAACUCACAAUCUUUUACCUUUACAGCAACCAACUUUCUGGGCACAUCCCUCGAGAACUAGGUCGCCUUGUGAACUUAGAGGAUUUGGAGCUUAGCGACAACACACUAACUGGUUCCAUCCCAAAUAGCAUAGGAAAUUUGAUUAAACUCACAGCAUUGUACCUUGACAGCAACCAACAUUCUGGACACAUCCCUCGAGAACUAGGUUACCUUGGGAACUUAGAGGAGUUGAAUCUUAGCAACAGCACACUAAGAGCAAGUACAAUAGAGCUGAGUCAGCGGGCUGUAACGAAUAAACUAGUAUAUUUCUGCUUAGUUGGAGGAAAGAGAAGAGGAUAG
rnacentral:rRNA from 1 species